rnacentral:misc_RNA from 1 species
UACGGAGAGUGCAAGCGUUGUUCGGAAUUAUUGGGCGUAAAGCGCGUGUAGGCGGCCUUUCAAGUCCGGCGUGAAAGCCCAGGGCUCAACCCUGGAAGUGCGCUGGAAACUGAUCGGCUUGAGUACCGGAGGGGGAGGUGGAAUUCUCGAGUGUAGAGGUGAAAUUCGUAGAUAUUCGGAAGAACAUCAGUGGCGAAGGCGACCUCCUGGACGGAUACUGACGCUGAGACGCGAAAGCGUGGGGAGCAAACAGG